CAUCUUUAAUGUGAAUCCAGUCCGAAGGGAGCAAACAUGUUUAGUUUGAAGGACAGCAAACAGGUUAGGGAAUAAAGUAACAUCGAUACAUCAUCACCUGAAGUGGAGAGGGAAAAUCACAACUGUUAUUGUGCGCUGCGUCACGAGUCAGAAAAAUUAUGUAUUAGUUUAAGUAUGCAUUUUGACCUAAUAUAUCUGUUGACCGUAUUCCAAUGUGCAAUGUUGAGGAGGCCGAGUAUAAAACACCAUUUUUCCCUAUGGAUGCAAUGUACGCCAGAUUUAACAGAGCUUGUUGAGAUUUAAGCAGAAUUCGCCUGUAUACAUAUACCAUAUUAAACAAAAACUUUAAUUAUCUGUUUAUUUUUUAAGUAACCUAGCCACAUCUAAAAUGGGAUAAAAACAACAACAAAUAAAUAGAUGGUAAUAUCUUCAUUAUACUAGCAUACAGUUUUUAACUUUGGAAAUCGUUGGAUAACUAGUUAAUUUGAUUUAAUUUAAUAGCAUUUCCAUAGUCAUUCAGAUUAUAAGAAUACAUUUGACUAAGAGAUUUGUAACAUCCAUUAAAAAUAGUGUAAUUUACUUUUUAAUUUCAGUUAAUUCAACUACUGGAUUCAACAGCUGAAGGCAGGCAAUCACAGAAGAGAGACUCUUCAAGAUUGACCCUCACAAAAAAGGCAGCGACACACAUGGUUGAUGCUCUAAAGGAGGACCUGAGGAAAAAAAAAGAACCUUAUCUUUACACAGCCCCACCACUUUAUGACUCCGACUCUGAUGUAACAGCCAUUGAUGAAGAAUCAUCUCCGCUGAAGGAACCUCUAAGAAAUCUUGACUCAGAAAGUGAGGAUGAUAUCUCAAAAAUACCCUAAGCUUGAUGAUGACAUUACCAGUGCAUUAAAAGAGUUCCCAGCCAUUGUGAAAACGUUAAAAGACAUAUUCGCAACUUUAAAUAAGCCUUCAGCCUCUUCUAUUCAAGUGCAA